UGGGUCUCGGGACCGGCUCCUGGGUUCCACAGUCUUAAAAGCUGUGCACUUGUCCCAGACAGCCCAACUCUGACCUAGAGAAAUCCUCCAGGCCAUCCUUUGUAGGCAGCCUGGGCAGUAACAGGUGUGAGCAUCUCUCAGCAUUUCAUGCUCGUGUAUAAUACUGCAUACAAAA